UUUUCAAAAGGGUCCGGUACCCCAAAAAUAUUUGCUAACAAUAUCAACUAUUUGAAUGUCUGAUCACUGAUUUAUAAUGUAAUAAAUGCAUUUAUCUUCUGAUAUUUUAGAAUAUAAUGCAAUUCAACUCCAAAGUUAAUGAUCACAUUUUUUGAAAAUUAAUAGGGUUAGCUGUAGGAACAAGCACUAGAUCGAUUUGCAUAUUUUUUGGAAUAUAUUUUCUACUUAAUUAUGUACAGUAUAAUCUAACAUGUUCAUGAUCAUUUGCAGGCAGAUAUAUUUUUAGCACCUCAGAUACACUCUGCAUUUAAGAAAUUCAACAUUGACAUGGUAGUAUUCUAUGGUCUCCUGUAUAUUUUAUGUGGGGGAAUAAGGUGUUGUAAUGAAACAUGUGGCUUGUAUUGCUGCGGUGCCAUCACCGCAGCUGCUUUGAUCAUGGAUGUAUCGUUGUGUUUUGUCCACACUUCAAACAAAUAUAGGCUGUUGCCUAAAGGCCUUUGGCCAUUGCCUAUU
rnacentral:lncRNA from 1 species